rnacentral:tRNA from 2 species
GCUGGUGUAGCUCAAUUGGCAGAGCAGCUGAUUUGUAAUCAGCAGGUCGCGGGUUCGAAUCCCAUCACCAGCUCCA